rnacentral:lncRNA from 1 species
UCGGUAGGAACGUAGGCUCGUGUAGCCAUGGAUUUAUGAUGACCACCAUUUAUCUUCCAUGAGGACAUCAUAAGCAUACACUUCGGUCUCGUGGCUAGCCUGUUGCAUUCUUCAAACACUUCUUCAGUCUUCUCAUACUGACUUUCCCUUGCAAAAUGCAUUCACCAGGGCAGUCUAAGUGCAGCUGGUAGGAUUGCACCCUACUCCAUCUCAUUUAAGAUUACUAUCAACAACAUCGGUUGCUCUGCAUGUGAAAUAAUUAAUCAUAAUUAAGAAAAACAUGUCUAAAUGUCUUGAACUAUUGAGGCCAUUAAAGUUAUUUUUGAGGCACCCAUCUCUAUUUCAUCCUUUAUCAGAUCAAAUAAACCAAAUAUGGUACAGCUUAAGAUAUAAACCUAUAUUAUAUUAUAUUAUAUGAAUAACUAACCUGAUCUUGUCAGCGAUGUUGGUCUAGAGGCCCCAAAAUUGCUAUCCAUUGGAACCCUGUAAUGCACAAGUUCAAAAUUUUCAGUGCAGUCCAGUACAAACCAUAAGGCGAAAUCGAGGACCACACUUCUAGUGCAUUCCAAUUUCAUACAGAUGACAGACUCUAGUCAUCAAAAUAUAUUGUUUUUUCAAUAUAUGUUGGAGUACAGAAGUCAAGAGAAACACAUGGCGAAAAGCAUAUGCUGAAAGGGUUACAAAUCAUGCAUUCCUAUCUACCGAAAGAUGCAAUUGAAAGCAAGAACAGACAAGAACCUCUCAACUCAUUCAGUUCUAGCUUAUAACCAAAACUUUAGAGAAGGAUCAUUGUUUGCUGAAAAAUAAUUGGUUGCACCAAAAGAGCUUAUCUUCCUGCAAUUUGCAGCACAAUAGCAUAAUAAAAUAUUUUUUUACUUUAUUCUACUUGGUGAAAUAAUAGCAGUGCCCUGAAUAUUUCGUUAGGGCUAUAACACCUCAAGAUUACAGCUUUAUAUAUUGCAGUGAGUUCUGCCGAACAAAUGCCCUGCAAGAGGCUUAAUCCAUACUACUUGAAAUACUUUUCCCUGUUUUCAGUGGCAAAAGAACUUUUCCUCUAUUUGGGUAUUGGUAAAUCUGAAGAUAUAUCUUGGUGACUGACAGACUGGCAGUCAUUCCAGAAACUUGGCUUGGCUUUAAUAAGAGCUCAGGUUAGGUAAUUCAGAAUAUCCAACAGGAGAAAUACAGGAUUGAUAAGAUCUAAAAUGUAAGCACAGUACAGUAAUACAGGGUAAAUUCAAACAAACUUAAGAGCACCGAAAUACCCCGAUCAGAUCGAACAAUUUCUACUAAGCUUACAUAAAACAAAACAAAAGAAAAAAAAUCCCAACCUUUGGAAUCAUUGUCAGGAAUUCGAAGAAUAAUUCACAACUUUUUCUGUCUAAUUUAAGUAAACAAGAAACCUUUGGAAUUUCAGCACAUAUAUAAUGAUUGAAACUUGUUCUUGAUGAUGCAAAUUCAGUUAUGGAGAAACUGAAAAAUGUUAAGAACAUAAAGAAUAACCAUAUUUAACCAACAAGUGACAGGAAUUUGUUUGACCAUUGAGAAGACACACCUUGCAAACAAGAUAUAUAUCGCUGCACAAUUAAGCCUCCAAAUGAACGUGCAAUUAAUUGAGGUGGCAAGGAGAUCUCCUUCCAGGUGAAAUCAGCAAUAUGACAGCCUAUCUGUAUGAAUCACCAAAUGCAGGCAUCUGUUUUUUUUUUGUUGUCAAGUUCUUCGUCAGAAUUAAACCGGGUUAAACUUGACUUCCCAUUAAAUUUCGAGUACUGAAGAACUCAUCUGAACUUUUCAGUAACCUGCUAUUCAUUGUGGCUGAAAAGAAACGCAACUACAUUUUCAAGCAUGAGGCUCUCCCAAUAGCAUGAGGAGUUGUUUUUCUGUUAGCUGUGAUGUAGGGGUGAUAUCAGGUCAGCACGGUCUGCACAAACUUAUCGGUAGCAUGCUGUGCUCGAUUCAGGUUUGAUUUGGGCUCUCUUGUCGUUUUCACAUAGGUAUUCUUAAUUAGUUGUAGAUGUCAUCAAGCUAAAAAAAAUUCGUGUGCAUGGCCUAUGGAAAGAAGCUCAAAAUCUUUAAUGAAAAAUGAUUAAGUAGCAGUUUUCCGAAAUCUGAACCUCAAAAUGAUUUUUUUUUGUUGGAUUGCUGACUCAUGUUUCAGGGUCGGAUUGCUUCUUGGUUGAAAACUUGAAAUAGCAUGUACAAGAAACCAACAUAACAGUGGGAAAGCUUAUCAAGAUGGAGUUAACGAGGCAGUAAAGCGACAUGGCAAGAGAUUGGAAUGGAUUGGAAGAAGAAGAAGAGGAGGAGGAGGAGAUGGGAGAAUUUACCAUGAAACAGGUCUUGCCGAUCUAGCAAUCGCCGAGCAGGCUGACCUUGAGGCUGCGUCCUUGACAUCCGGCGCCUUGCGGUCGGCGGCGGCGCCACCG